UACGUAGGUGACAAGCGUUAUCCGGAUUUACUGGGUGUAAAGGGCGUGUAGGCGGUUUGGCAAGUCAGAAGUGAAAUUCCCGGGCUUAACUUGGGCGCUGCUUCUGAAACUGCUUUACUUGAGUGCUGGAGAGGAUAGUGGAAUUCCUAGUGUAGCGGUAAAAUGCGCAGAUAUUAGGAGGAACACCGGUGGCGAAGGCGGCUAUCUGGACAGUAACUGACGCUGAGGCGCGAAAGCACGGGGAGCAAAC
rnacentral:rRNA from 1 species